rnacentral:rRNA from 1 species
UACGUAGGGUGCGAGCGUUUAAUCGGAAUUACUGGGCGUAAAGCGUGCGCAGGCGGUUCUGAAAGUCAGCUGUGAAAGCCCCGGGCUUAACCUGGGAAUUGCGGUUGAAACUACAGGGCUAGAAUCUGGCAGAGGGGGGUGGAAUUCCACGUGUAGCAGUGAAAUGCGUAGAGAUGUGGAGGAACACCGAUGGCGAAGGCAGCCCCCUGGGCUGAGAUUGACGCUCAGGCACGAAAGCGUGGGGAGCAAACAGG